UGUUCUUCAAGUGGAAGAUCACAGCAUUGGGGAUCCAUUGGAUACUGUAUUAGGAGCAAAGACAUAGAAGAACCCUUUAUCCUUGGAACUUGGAAACAGCUACACUGGAUCCUGUGUGGAAGUUAAGGAGACGGUUGCUGUGGUGGGGGCCUGAGAACAUUAUUUCAUCCCAAUGUUGCUCUGACGUUUGUGUUUAAGAUUCAAGAAGAGUAAGAAAGAAAGAGGACACAUCCCACCAGAGGAUGCAACAAUGAGGGACCCUCUGGGAAGCAGGAAGAAAAGCCUUCACCAGACACCACAGUUGCUGGCAUAGUGAUCUACUCGGUUAUAAAUUACCUACUGUUGGUGUUUUCUAAUUAGCACAACA